CAAACAAAUACACCUUGCCAAGAACUGCCUUUGCACUACACUCUCUUUCGCUCGCGAUCGGAGUGUGCAGGAUAGAACGCGUGAAAGCGUACGCGCAAUCGCGAGGGAUUGUUAAUAACCCUUUUUUUUAUGUUAAAUCGAAAGAGCGUGUAGUGUGAAGGCAGCUAAUGACUGCACAUCUUAAGGGAGCGGAACCACUGAAGCAGAACGAAGCGGAGACGUGUUCAGCAGUUUACACAUAGAUCAUCAUCACCCAUUGUGAAUCCACUGUUGGACAGAGGGCUCUUUAAACAGCUCUUUCGUUUGAAGCAGAAACGAGUGGAGCCAAGACACCUCCAUGCGGUUUUCGCAUCAAACUUAAUAAUAUAUCCAUUUCACUUGGCGCAAGCAACAAAAGAGUACCAAAAAUCCAGCCAAUGAUUAGUAAUGAUUACCUACAUGUACAGUAGAAGGGGCAGAAGAUAGGCAAUGAACCAUUCGAAGAAAGUAACCAGAAUGUUAAAAUAAAACGAAAUAAAAUAGGUCAUCCAUUU